rnacentral:rRNA from 1 species
UACGUAGGGUGCGAGCGUUAAUCGGAAUUACUGGGCGUAAAGCGUGCGUAGGCGGUUCGUUAAGUUCGUUGUGAAAGCCCCGGGCUCAACCUGGGAAUUGCGAUGAAGACUGCAAGGCUUGAAUCUGGCAGAGGGGGGUAGAAUUCCACGUGUAGCAGUGAAAUGCGUAGAGAUGUGGAGGAACACCGAUGGCGAAGGCAGCCCCCUGGGUCAAGAUUGACGCUCAUGCACGAAAGCGUGGGGAGCAAACAGG